GGAGUUGUGGCUCAGCGGUAGAGCGUUCACCUAGCACAUUCACCUAGCACAUGAGAGGCCCUGGGUUCGAUCCUCAGCACCA
rnacentral:tRNA from 1 species